AUUGAACGCUGGCGGCAUGGCUAAAACAUGCAAGUCGAACGGAUCCGCAAGGAUUAGUGGCGGAAGGGUCGUAAUACGAUCGAAUGUACCCCGAGGUGGGGGAUAGGCACGGGAAACUGUGCGUAAUACCCAUAAGCACUCCGGUGGAAAGAUUUAUCGCCUUGGAGCAGCGAUCGUCCUAUCAGGUAGUUGGCGGGGUAAAAGCCCACCAAGCCGAAGACGGGUAGCGGGUGUGAGAGCACGGCCCGCGACAUCGGGACUGAGACACUGCCCGGACUCCUACGGGAGGCUGCAGUAACGAAUAUUCCGCAAUGGGCGAAAGCCUGACGGAGC
rnacentral:rRNA from 1 species